ACUGGAGUCAGUUGGCUGCUGUGAGGAUAAGGAAGAGGCAGUGCCUGGAGGAACUGCCUACAAGAAAGCAUCAAGGAGAUACAAAACUCUAAUAAUCUAGAACCCUUGCACUGUAGUGACAAUAGAACUCUUGCAAUGCAAUGACACCAUCCAGUUUAUUCUUGCUUUAUGUUUUUGGAGUUUUUUAGGUGUAAUUAGAAUUGAUUUCAAGAGCAACAAGAAUUGGCAAGGUUCCUGGUGCUUACCUCCAGAAAGUAUAUCAUAGACAUCAAGCUUACACAGCCAUUGCUUGGAAACAGUCUCCUCUGGCAGAGAAUGCCUUUUAGAGAUACUUAAAUAUCUUGUGAGAUGGGAAGCAACAGUGCAUCCUUGGUAUUGGAGGAAAGUAAAAUUGACAUUCUCCUUCAGAGAUGGCCUCACCUGGUGCGUGAAAUGAUCUUAGAUGCUUUCUGCAUCUUAAAAUGUGUAAGCACUCUUGAAUUCUUCAGGAAGAAAGACCUUCCACAAAGACAAGAACAGAGAGGGCAUCUUCUAGCAUUGUUUUCAGUCUUCAGUACUAAAAGGAAAACAAAUUAAUACUUCCUAAGGGUGCUGUUGGUGAGAAAUGUAGCUCAAGUGUGGAAUGGCCAUGUUGGCUGUGCUGGUCAGCCCAAUGAACCUGGUGUGCUUCAGCCAGCACAAGAAGAGAGUGUCACUGCGACUGUCCAUCAGCCCUCUCCAUUGCCACACCAAAUCCACAUCAAGUCUGCUUGCCUGGGUCUGGGCUGGGAAUUCAGGUGCUGUGGGGUUGUGAAACAGCACUGCAUGGUCUGAGGGCAGGGCUGGAGCAGAGCAGCUUCAGCUGCCCCUCCCUAGCCCUGCUUCUUGGACUGCAAAAAGAUGUUCACAAUUUGCAUCAAAUUCCCAUAAGUCUGAGUUACCCCAGCCUGCUUCUAAACUAACCAUUGCAGAGCUGCCAGGCUUUCGUUCCACUUUAUGAAUGCCCUUGAUAAGAAGGUUAGGCUCUAUGAUUGGGUUUUGUUUUUUCUUUGUUGCCUGUGAAGGUGCCCAACUGAUAAUCUUAGAGAAGAAAAUCCCCUUUUCAGUCACAAAGCAGAUAACUGCCUGUGAAGUGACAGUGCAGGUCUCAGUUCUGACCUGUAAGGAGAUGAAAGAAUAUGAAAGACUAUACAAUUUUCAGUUCAUACUUAUUCAGACCUGACUGGCAUCCAAGACAUUAAGUGCAGCUGGCAACGAUGUCACGUUACAGACAACCUGCCCUUCCUGAGAUGGACUGAUAUUUCUUUGUGUGUUUUUGCCACUGACAGAAUAUCUAUGGGAUACCCUGAAAGUUUAAAAUUUGCACUUGUUUUUUAUUUGAACAUAGGCAUUUUUUCCCCAUAGAAAGAAUAAUAUUUAUUUCAUAAAAAGUAUUAUUUUGGAGCUAUAUAAUAAUUUUUAAUAGCUUGAAAUGCAUCUCUGUAAGGUUGAAUGCUUCAAAUUAAUAAUGUCAGAAUAUAAAGUUAUGGAACUUCCAACAGUUUUUCUGUAUUUUCUAAGGAGGAAAAUAGAAAUACUUUUGGUUUGUGGGCUAUUUUUGCUAAGACUAUUUACUUAGAAAACUCUUCAGCAAUUAGGGGUGCUCACAGGAUCAGUGGUUCUGGUACUGAGUAGAGAGGCAAAUCCAGACUCAUGUUAAAGAAGUAACUGUUCCUGGCAAUUUCUGAUCUCAAUUGAGAUAGAUCCAAAUUGAUAAAAUAAAGACAAAAUGCUAUGGGCUGUGAUGUUGAGUGGUAUUGUCCACUGAAUUGCAAGCUCAGAAAUAAGAUUAUCAGUUUUCCUUCCA